UGAUCGCCCCAUCGUGUUAAACACCAGAGGUGUGAUAGCUUUCGAUUACAACAAUAACCAAAAUGACCUUCCUAAUAACCACUUCUCUUCGGUAAAAUAUCCUGUCUUCUGGCUCGAAGCCACUGUGUGUUAUUUCAUGCUCCAUUAAAUCAUUUAUGACUGGAUAGUUUAUUGCUACCCCUGGAAAGGGAGGCGGGGGAGAGUGAAGAAACUCUGAACUUGUUCCCUGGUGCAAAUACUGGUACCCACCACUGCUUAAGAAGGAGCCAGAACAUCAGACUCAAGGCCAUACGAAGAGGCCAUAGCUUAGCAGAAAAGCAUCGGCUGUGCAUGCAGGAAGGCCCCAGGUUCAAUCCCUGACAUCUCCAGGUAGGGGUGUCUGAAAUUGUGGACAGCUGUUGAGAGUCAUUGUGGAUAGUACUGAGCUAAAUGAACGGACAGCUUCUUGUGUUUCUCAUGUACCUAAACGCAGUUCUAAGAAGGUAGCUUUAAAUAUUACAUGAAGAGCAGUAGUGGCCAAAUCAUGGAAGAAAGGGCAGGGAGGCCCUUAAAUUAAAUCCAGCAUCUCCAUCUUCUGACUCAGGGCUGACAUUAGGGCUUGGCAAGGAAGAACAUCUAUUGAAGCCCACAUCUCAUGCAGGUCCCACUGCUGAUCACAUUAGCCUCCUUGCCUUCAUGUUGCUCCCUUUGCCAUUGCCACUUGCAUGCUUUCUCCAUCUCUCUGUUUUAGAGGCAGACAGUUCAAAAAGCAAUGGCAGUGAGCAGAAAGUUAACAACAGCUGCCAUCACCUUCUUGCUCACCUGCCUUCCUCUCCGUGAAUUAGACCAGGGACAGAGGAUUAUGGCAGGGAGGAGAACAAAGACCUGAUGGAGGCAUCUUGCCCGAGGGAAUCAUAAGAUCUGGAGUCAGCACUGUUAUGACUCCCUCAACUUUUAGUCAAGUGGUGUCUCCCCACUGCCAUCUAAAACAAUAGCAAAAAAGUUGGCUUAGGUGGUGAAAAACACCUUUUACCAGCUUUGUUAGCUAUGACAGUGCCCAGGUGUCUCUAAACCACAGUAGUUUGUCUACAGCACUGAUAACUUCAAGAUUUUAGUUCUGAUCCAAAUGCGUGCAGAACUAACCUAUCUUAUAGUUUGUUGUUAUUACUGGAAACAUGAGAAUAUGAUGUCCAAAUCACUUGAACAGCCUCUUUCAGAACUGCCUGGAACAUGGAAAAAAAUGGAUAGGGAGACAUUUUUCUCCCACUUUUAUAAUAGUGGCACUGAAUUCGUUUUAUGUUCUCAUCUCCUUAACAUGUAAAAACACCCAGGCUACAUUUACAUGGUAGUUUAUUCCAUUAACCUGACAUUUCCCUAACUUCCACAUUAUAUUUGAGCUUUCACAUGAUUUAAAAGCCACUUCUGGAAAACUAAUGGGAAUAUAGCACAAGCUUAGUGCUCAUUUCCAUGUGAUUUGAUUCUAGAAGAAAUCCAUUUGCAGCCCCUUUAAUCUGGAAAAUUGUGAGAGUAACGUGAAAAAAUAUAUAUGGGGCAGUAUAUCAGCAUUCAGUGCUUUCCUGCUCUUUUCAUGGGGGAGUCAUGGGGGUGGUGAAUGUGGUGUGAAUGAAAGUAAUCAUGACCUGUCAGUAUAAUUGGUCAAAAAGCCACAGUUCCAUAACACAGCAACAGGUUUGAAAGGAAAAUUAGAAAACAGGAAAGAAGCAUCAGCAUUAUAAUCAUGAAAAGUAAUGCAAUAUUCUUCACAUCUGAAUUCACCCUCAGAGAAAUCUUGCUGCCUACAGUUUGGGGACAUAACACCAGGCUGCAUAGGGCUCUGUUUUCUUUGGUUUAAGUCAAACUUGUCAUCCAGACUUUGGGUGCUGCGCAGGGCUCUGUUUUCUUUGGUUUAAGUCAAACUUGUCAUCCAGACUUUGGGUGCUGCGCAGGGCUCUGUUUUCUUUGGUUUAAGUCAAACUUGUCAUCCAGACUUUGGAGUGUGUUCCCAGUUAGCCAGAGCACUGCUCCUCUCAGUCUCCCACUUGCAACUUUUAUGUACCACACUAACACCUUGGUCAGGAAACUACAGUAAAAGGGUGCUCUGUAUCACAAACCGAGCUUCAUGCAAGCAGGGCUGCUUUCACUGCUGGGAAUAUUUGCCUAUAUACAAAGGGGAUGCACAUUCUAUUUAAGUGAAUCCAUCACGCCCUCCUGGCGUAAUUUGUCAUGAGACAAAGGUUCUUGAGAGCAGAAGAAGCAGUAAGGCCUACAAGGCCUACACAAUCAUUUAAGCCUAAGGCUGCUAACUGUUAACAGCAAACUGCUAAGUCACUGUGGCACGUGACUCAUCUUGGGUGAUGACUCGUUCUCCCUAUAAAAGUAGCCAGCCUCUCUGGGCCUCAAGUCAGAGAGCUGUAUGGAUUGUGUAUGUAGUAGUCUGUGGAAUAGUGCUAUUGUUGUUGCUACGUAAAGCUAAGGCAGACAGAGUGGCUCCAGGACUCUAGUAAAUCAGUAACUAAGACGGUUCCUCUGUGAAGAGACAGAUAGCUGCUAUGAGCACUCUGUGUCUGAGCUUGCCUGUCCUGCAGAAGAUCCACAGCUGUAGAGGAAGACAACGCUCUGGUCCAGGCAAGAUGCAGUAUCUCCUUCUCUCCCUGCUUGCUCACCCUUUUGACUCCCUCCCUUCCUUUUGACAGUCCCAGCAUGAUGCAAACAAACCCACACCCAGAGCAUUUCUCCAUUUUUUCUGGAGAAACAAAGGACACAAUAUUAUGAUGAUGUUGAUGAUGAUGAUGAUUAGAAUGAAAUCCUAAGAACAAAAUUUGUCUGCCUUUUGGUCUCCUUGUGUUAUGACUGCCUCUCUCAGCCUGACCUCCUGAUUUGCUCUCAGAUU